GAGGAAAUGAUCCUGGACCAUCAGGAGUGAAGCAGCUCAAUUAUUUACUACUGGAUGGAAGCUAUAAAUUAAAGAACAUCAGGUUUUUGAAAAGUCUUCCUGCAGAGAGAGCGUGUGAGUAUCUCACUAAAGUUCUGGGUGAAAGUCCAUUAUUAAUGAAAGAACUGGAUCUGAGUGGAGAUAAAUUAGGAGACCUGGAUGGAGAGAAACUUUCUGCUCUCUUCAUGGACUCUCAUAGCAAAGUGGAGAAAAUCAAGCUGAAUAAUUGUGAGCUGACAGAGAAAAGCUGUUCAGUUCUAGCUACUGUUCUCUGCUCCAAAACCACCCUGACAGAGAUGAACCUGAACAACAGCCCUCUGCAGGAUUCAGGAGUCAAAGAGAUCUGUAAAGGACU